UACGUAGGGGGCUAGCGUUGUCCGGAUUCAUUGGGCGUAAAGGGUGCGUAGGUGGCGGGGCAAGUCUGGUGUGAAAUCCCGGGGCUCAACCCUGGAACUGCACUGGAUACUGCUUUGCUAGAGUACUGGAGAGGGAACUGGAAUUACGGUGUAGCAGUGAAAUGCGUAGAUAUCGUAAGGAAGACCAGUGGCGAAGGCGAGUUCCUGGACAGUUACUGACACUGAGGCACGAAGGCCAGGGGAGGCAAACGGG
rnacentral:rRNA from 1 species